rnacentral:rRNA from 1 species
GAUUAACGCUGGCGGCGUGCCUAACACAUGCAAGUCGAACGAGGUAGCAAUACCUAGUGGCAGACGGGUGAGUAACGCGUGGUCAACCUACCGUUGAGUGGGGGAUAACUAGCCGAAAGGUUAGCUAAUACCGCAUACGAGUCUCGGGGGCAUCCCUGGGCCUUAAAAGGAGCAAUCCGCUCGAUGACGGGACCGCGUCCCAUUAGCUAGAUGGUGGGGUAAUGGCCUACCAUGGCACCGAUGGGUAGCUGGUUUGAGAGAGCGACCAGCCACACUGGGGACUGAGAAACGGCCCAGACUCCUACGGGAGGCAGCAGUGAGGAAUUUUCCGCAAUGGGCGAAAGCCUGACGGAGCGACGCCGCGUGUGGGAAGAAGGCCUUCGGGUCGUAACC